rnacentral:rRNA from 1 species
UACGUAGGGGGCAAGCGUUGUCCGGAUUUAUUGGGCGUAAAGAGCGUGUAGGCGGCCAGACAGGUCCGUUGUGAAAACUCGAGGCUCAACCUCGAGACGCCGAUGGAAACCGUCUGGCUAGAGUCCGGAAGAGGAGAGUGGAAUUCCCGGUGUAGCGGUGAAAUGCGCAGAUAUCGGGAAGAACACCCGUGGCUAAGGCGGCUCUCUAGUACGGUAGCGUGACGCUGAGACGCGAAAGCGUGGGGAGCGAACAGG